rnacentral:tRNA from 1 species
GGCCGGAUGGUGGAACUGGCAGACACACCGGGUUCAAACCUCGGCGCCGAAAGGCUUGUGGGUUCGACUCCCACUCCGGCUA